CGCCUAACAGCUAGCCCACUAAUACAUCCAACACACACUUAUUUAUAACCCCACAUGCACUAAAACUAAAAACCAAACCAUUUUUCCCCCUAAGUAUGGGCGACAGAAAAGGAACCAAAGAGCAACAGAAAAAGUACCGCAAGGGAACGCUGAAAGAGAAAUGAAACAACCCAGUAAAGCCAAAGAAAGCAGAGAUUACACCUCGUACCUUUUGCAUCAUGAUUUAGCAAGUAUACCCAAGCAAAAAGCAUUUUAGUUUGGCCCCCCGAAACCAAGUGAGCUACUCCAAGACAACCUAUAAUUUAGGGUAAACCCGUCUCUGUGGCAAAAGAGUGGGAAGAGCUUCGAGUAGAGGUGACAGACCUAUCGAACUUGGUAAUAGCUGGUUGCUUGAGAAACGAAUAGAAGUUCUGCCUCUUAUCUUCUCACCCCACUCUGGUCACCAGAGCCCUUCCACCGGUAAAAGAAGAUAAAAGAGUUAGUCAAAGGGGGUACAGCCCCUUUGAGACAAGAUACAACUUUUCCAGCAGGGUAAAGAUCAUAAUUUUUAAGGCACCUAUGUUUGGGUGGGCCUAAAAGCAGCCAUCCCAUUAGAAAGCGUUAAAGCUCUAACAUACUCCCCCCUUCGAUCCCGAUAAUAAAUCUUAGCCCCCUAACCAUAUCAAGCCGUCCCAUAGUAACAUGGGAGUGAUUAUGCUAAAAUGAGUAACCAGAGAACACCACCUCUCUCCUUGCACAUGUGUAAAUCGGAACGGACCCCCCACCGAAACUUAACGGCCCCAAACAACAGAGGGCACUGAAUGAUAAAAAACAAACAAGAAAAUCAUCCAAAAUUCUACCGUUAACCCCACACUGGUGUACUUAAAAGGAAAGACCAAAAGGAAAAGAAGGAACUCGGCAAAUACACCUAAGCCUCGCCUGUUUACCAAAAACAUCGCCUCUUGCUAAAUACACAUAAGAGGUCCCGCCUGCCCUGUGACCCCUGGUUUAACGGCCGCGGUAUUUUGACCGUGCAAAGGUAGCGCAAUCACUUGUCCCUUAAAUGAGGACCCGUAUGAAUGGCACAACGAGGGCUUAACUGUCUCCUUUCCCCGGUCAAUGAAAUUGAUCUUCCCGUGCAGAAGCGGGAAUUCUAACAUAAGACGAGAAGACCCUAUGGAGCUUUAGACUUUAGAACAGACCAUGUCAGCUACCCCCUUAAACAAGUAGUAAUUAUUGAACCCCUGUUCCCCUGUCUUUGGUUGGGGCGACCACGGGGAAGAAAAAAACCCCCACGUGGACUGGGAGCACCUUACUCCUACAACUACGAGCCACAGCUCUAAUGCGCAGAAUUUCUGACCAUGAGAUCCGGCAAAGCCGAUCAACGGACCGAGUUACCCUAGGGAUAACAGCGCAAUCCCCUUCAAGAGUCCAUAUCGACAAGGGGGUUUACGACCUCGAUGUUGGAUCAAGACAUCCUAAUGGUGCAGCCGCUAUUAAGGGUUCGUUUGUUCAACGAUUAAAGUCUUACGUGAUCUGAGUUCAGACCGGAGUAAUCCAGGUCAGUUUCUAUCUAUGACAUGUUCUUUUCUAGUACGAAAGGACCGAAAAGAGAAGGCCCAUGCUUAAAGCACGCCUUACCCUUACCUAAUGAAGCUAACUAAAAUAGACAAAAGGGCAUUUCCCAAUGCUGUAGAUAACAGCAU
rnacentral:rRNA from 1 species